GACCCGUUAGCUCAGCAGGUAGAGCAAUUCCCUUUUAAGGAAUGGGCCGCUGGUUCGAAUCCAGCACGGGUCACCA
rnacentral:tRNA from 8 species